rnacentral:rRNA from 1 species
GCGGAAGGAUCAUUAUCGUACCACAUGUGUGUGAGGCGUGCGAGGGCUGUCGCUGACUUUUUGACACAAAAGUCGUGCACGCCGGAGCGUGUCCUCUCACAUAAAAUCCAUCUCACCCUUUUGUGCACCACCGCGUGGGCACCUUUUGGGAUCGAACCGAUCCUGGAGGGGGCUUGCGUUUUCACACAAACCCCUUUUAAAAAGUGUAGAAUGACCCCAUUUUGCGAUGACACGCAAUCAAUACAACUUUCAACAACGGAUCUCUUGGCUCUCGCAUCGAUGAAGAACGCAGCGAAAUGCGAUACGUAAUGUGAAUUGCAGAAUUCAGUGAAUCAUCGAAUCUUUGAACGCACCUUGCGCCCCUUGGUAUUCCGAGGGGCACACCCGUUUGAGUGUCGUGAAAAUCUCAACCUUCUCGGUUUUCUUGCGGACACCGAAGGAGGCUUGGACUUUGGAGGCCUUUGCUGGCAUCUCUCUCUUUUUUGAGAGCCAGCUCCUCUUAAAUGAAUUAGCGGGGUCCUCUUUGCCGAUCCUCGACAUGUGAUAAGAUGUUUCCRUGACUUGGUUUCUGGCUCUGUUGCCUUUGGGACCCGCUUCUAACCGUCUCUCGACRAGACAAUGUUUGGGUGUGUCUCCCUUCUCGGGAGACUCUCUCAACCCCACGAACKCUUGACCUCAAA